rnacentral:rRNA from 1 species
UACGAAGGGGGGCUAGCGUUGCUCGGAAUCACUGGGCGUAAAGGGCGCGUAGGCGGCGUUUUAGGUCGGGGGUGAAAGCCUGUGGCUCAACCACAGAAUGGCCUUCGAUACUGGGACGCUUGAGUAUGGUAGAGGUUGGUGGAACUGCGAGUGUAGAGGUGAAAUUCGUAGAUAUUCGCAAGAACACCGGUGGCGAAGGCGGCCAACUGGACCAUUACUGACGCUGAGGCGCGAAAGCGUGGGGAGCAAACAGG